GAAAUGCGAUAAGUAAUGUGAAUUGCAGAAUUCAGUGAAUCAUCGAAUCUUUGAACGCACAUUGCGCCCAUUAGUAUUCUAGUGGGCAUGCCUGUUCGAGCGUCAUUUCAACCCUUAAGCCUAGCUUAGUGUUGGGAAUCUACAUCAAAGGCUUCUAGCCCUACUGUAGUUCCUGAAAAUCAACGGCGGAUCUGUAAUAAUCCUCUGAGCGUAGUAAUUCUUUAUCUCGCUUUUGUUAGGUGUUAUAGCCCUUGCCGCUAAACCCCCCAAUUUUUAAUGGUUGACCUCGGAUCAGGUAGGAAUACCCGCUGAACUUAA
rnacentral:misc_RNA from 1 species